AUCGCUAGGACCGAAAAUUUAUUGUAUUUAGCUUUAUUCAAUUGGACCGAUUUGCAGCGUGUGGACAAGCCAAGCAGCUUUUUAGUGCCAGCCGAUUCUACAGAGCAACCAUAUAAGUCGCCAUGUCCACUCAGCCAGCGGAGAACGAGGAGAGCGCGGCGGCCAAGUCCAAGCGACCUUCAGAUUCGGCCUUCAAGCAGCAGCGAUUGCCUGCCUGGCAGCCAGUCCUCACCGCUCGUACCGUCCUGCCCACAUUCUUCGUGAUUGGGGUGCUCUUCAUACCCAUCGGCGUCGUCCUGCUCCACUUGAGCAACACGUCCAAUGAGCUGAUCAUCGACUACACCAAGUGCAAGCCGUCGACCGGGAAUGCCACCUGCGCGGAGUACCUAGAAGCCAAUGCCGGUGGCCAGUGCAACUGCCGGGUGCCCUUCGUCCUUCCUACGGAUUUCAAUGGUGUGGUCUACAUGUACUACGGCCUGACGAACUACUACCAGAACCAUCGGCGCUAUGUGAAGUCACGGGACGACGAGCAGCUGCUGGGUCACCUGUCGCAAACGCCGAGUACGGACUGCGCCCCCUUUGCCUACGAUCCGGACAGCGGAAAGCCGAUCGCGCCCUGCGGUGCCAUUGCCAACUCUCUGUUCAAUGACACGCUGACCCUGUUGCAGGGCGAAUCCGAGAUCAAGCUGCUGAAGACGGGCAUUGCUUGGCCCUCGGAUAAGCGCGUCAAGUUCCGCAAUCCGGAGGGCAACCUCAACGUUUCCCUCGAGGCCUUCUCGAAGCCAUUGUUCUGGCAGAAGAGCCUGGCCGAGCUGGACCCGGAGAAUCCGGAAAACAACGGCUUCCAGAACGAGGAUUUAAUCGUGUGGAUGCGCACCGCCGCCCUGCCCAGCUUUCGAAAGCUAUAUCGCCGGCUCGACCAGACGAACACCAACUAUGCUAAUGGUCUUAAGGCCGGCAACUAUACGCUGGACAUUAAGUAUCAAUAUCCGGUUGUCUCGUUCGACGGCACCAAGCGAAUGAUUUUGUCCACCACCUCGGUGCUGGGGGGCAAGAAUCCUUUCCUGGGCAUUGCGUACAUCGUAGUCGGCGCAAUUUGCAUCACACUAGGCCUUGCCCUGCUUUUCAUCCAUAUGCGCUGCAGUCGCAGCAUUGUUGUGCAUUAGGUCCGCAUAGGGACGAGAAUAUCAUAACCCAUUGAAGCCGCAUUAUUUAUCAUGGCCAAAUUUGCUUUGCUCGCAGCAACAUGGAGAUGAUCAAUGUGAACCCGCACACGCAGUACUCCUAGGCCGAGCACCGACAGUAUUCCGGGCUGCUUCACAUAGCUUUAGUAGAUCCAUCUGUUUAAGCCUUAUCAGCAUAAAGUAGUUUCUAUUGACCAAAACUGGCACUGUGUUCUCGACUGCUCUGCUCUGUUCUACAUAUACAUACAUAUGUUUUCUGACUGUGUGCACUUGGCCAUCCGAUGAGCUGGCCGUGCCUUUUGUUAAUUUUUUGUAUCUGUCUCCAUAUGUGCACCGAAAAUAUUUGUGAUUCUUGUUGUGUAACUUAUUCUGCACAUCACAUACUAAGUGGCACCCUUUAAAAAAGUGCGCACCUAUUUCCACGCCACUGCAUUACAAACAGCAAAGAAAUACUUUGUGCCUGACCUAAUCUGUAUUGCCUUUUACUACGUUUAUAAGCGAAAAUAAACAUUGUUAACGGCA